UGCAAGUCGAGCGGCAGCGACUUAACUGAACCUUCGGGGAACGUUAAGGGCGGCGAGCGGCGGACGGGUGAGUAAUGCCUGGGAAUAUGCCCUGAUGUGGGGGAUAACUAUUGGAAACGAUAGCUAAUACCGCAUAAUCUCUUCGGAGCAAAGAGGGGGACCUUCGGGCCUCUCGCGUCAGGAUUAGCCCAGGUGGGAUUAGCUUGUUGGUGAGGUAAUGGCUCACCAAGGCAACGAUCCCUAGCUGGUCUGAGAGGAUGAUCAGCCACACUGGAACUGAGACACGGUCCAGACUCCUACGGGAGGCAGCAGUGGGGAAUAUUGCACAAUGGGGGAAACCCUGAUGCAGCCAUGCCGCGUGUGUGAAGAAGGCCUUCGGGUUGUAAAGCACUUUCAGUAGGGAGGAAGGUAGUGUAGUUAACACCUGCAUUAUUUGACGUCACCUACAGAAGAAGCACCGGCUAACUCCGUGCCAGCAGCCGCGGUAAUACGGAGGGCGCGAGCGUUAAUCGGAAUUACUGGGCGUAAAGUGCAUGCAGGCGGCCUGUUAAGUCAGAUGUGAAAGCCCGGGGCUUAACCUCGGAAUUGCAUUUGAAACUGGCAGGCUAGAGUCUUGUAGAGGGGGGUAGAAU
rnacentral:rRNA from 1 species